AAGCGUUCCUCAACUGAGUCGUUCUUCCACAAUAACACGCCAGCCUCCAACAAUUAACUCUCAUUAAAUCCCCUUCGUUAUUCUUUCAAUCGAAGUCAUAUGGAAGCGUUUUGACUUCUUUUGUUUCUUAGCUUAUAUAAACUCAUAUUGAUUUUUCUGCUACAUGAGAAACCACGCAAAGCCUAAAAAACCACCAUUUCCGAAAAUCCACCGGGAGGCUGCAAUUGCACAAUUAUCUAGCGAAGUCUCACUGGUUUAGCUGAAUCAGAGCUCCAUUUCCGCUUAGUACAUCUUCUGAAAGCAAGAAACACAACUACAGAGGAAGUUUGAUUGGGCUGGAGCUGCUUAUGAUUGUGAACAGACUUUGACAAUGAAGAAGUUAAAGGCCCUGUGAUCCAGUCUCUCAUCAGACCUGAACAAUAUUUUAUAUAUUGCAUCCUAUUGAUCUUGAGAAACUUUAGUUUGUUGGAGACUCUCUCUCAAGAUUCUGAGACAAGAGGUCGAGGAACAUGCUGUGGUAUUGAGUUUCAUUGGAGCACCUUGGACACUGCACCAAAUGUACUGAGAGCUCUUACAUUAUGCGAAGAAACUAUGUUCGAAGGCAAAUGUUGGUGACUGAACCUCUCACUAAAUUACAUUUAAGUUAUAGUGACAUAGCAUAGUUAGUUUUUUCUA